rnacentral:tRNA from 1 species
GUCAGGAUGGCCGAGCGGUCUAAGGCGCCAGACUCAAGGUUACCUUGCUCUGUUUCAGAGUAUGAGUGUUCUGGUCCACGAAUGUGGGCGUGGGUUCGAAUCCCACUUCUGACA